GCCGGAGUGGCGGAAUGGUAGACGCGCUCGACUCAAAAUCGUGUGUCGUAAGGCGUGUGGGUUCGAGUCCCACCUCCGGUA
rnacentral:tRNA from 1 species